rnacentral:rRNA from 1 species
UCUCCCUACGGGAGGCAGCAGUGAGGAAUAUUGGUCAAUGGGCGGGAGCCUGAACCAGCCAAGUCGCGUGAGGGACGACGGUCCUAUGGAUUGUAAACCUCUUUUGUCGGGGAACAAAGGCGUCCACGGGUGGGCGGAUGAGUGUACCCGAAGAAAAAGCAUCGGCUAACUCCGUGCCAGCAGCCGCGGUAAUACGGAGGAUCCGAGCGUUAUCCGGAUUUAUUGGGUUUAAAGGGAGCGUAGGUGGAUUGUUAAGUCAGUUGUGAAAGUUUGCGGCUCAACCGUAAAAUUGCAGUUGAAACUGG